AACGAACGCUGGCGGCAGGCUUAACACAUGCAAGUCGAGCGAGACCUUCGGGUCUAGCGGCGGACGGGUGAGUAACGCGUGGGAACGUGCCCUUCUCUACGGAAUAGCCCCGGGAAACUGGUAGUAAUACCGUAUACGCCCUUUGGUGGAAAGAUUUAUCGGAGAAGGAUCGGCCCGCGUUGGAUUAGGUAGUUGGUGGGGUAAUGGCCCACCAAUCCGACGAUCCAUAGCUGGUUUGAGAGGAUGAUCAGCCACACUGGGACUGAGACACGGCCCAGAAUCCUACGGGAGGCAGCAGUGGGGAAUCUUAGAAAAUGGGGGCAACCCUGAUCUAGCCAUGCCGCGUGAGUGAUGAAGGCCUUAGGGUUGUAAAGCUCUUUAAGCUGGGAAGAUAAUGACGGUACCAGCAGAAGAAGCCCCGGCUAACUCCGUG
rnacentral:rRNA from 1 species